ACUUAGGAAUCUGCCCAUUAGUGGGGGACAACUCGGGGAAACUCGAGCUAAUACCGCAUACGCCCUACGGGGGAAAGCGGGGGAGUCUUUCAGACCUCGCGCUAAUGGAUGAGCCUAAGUCGGAUUAGCUUGUUGGUGAGGUAAUAGCUCACCAAGGCGACGAUCCGUAGCUGGUCUGAGAGGACGAUCAGCCACACUGGGACUGAGACACGGCCCAGACUCCUACGGGAGGCAGCAGUGGGGAAUAUUGGACAAUGGGCGCAAGCCUGAUCCAGCAAUGCCGCGUGUGUGAAGAAGGCC
rnacentral:rRNA from 1 species